rnacentral:rRNA from 1 species
CCUACGGGAUGCAGCAGUGAGGAAUAUUGGUCAAUGGACGAGAGUCUGAACCAGCCAAGUAGCGUGAAGGAUGACUGCCCUAUGGGUUGUAAACUUCUUUUAUAUGGGAAUAAAAUGUUCCACGUGUGGGCUUUUGUAUGUACCCUAUGAAUAAGGAUCGGCUAAAUCCGUGCCAGCAGCCGCGGUAAUACGGAGGAUCCGAGCGUUAUCCGGAUUUAUUUGGGUUAAAGGGAGCGUAGGUGGAUUGUUAAGUCAGUUGGGAAAGUUUGCGGCUCAAACGUAAAAUUGCCGUUGAAACUGGUAGUCUGGAGUACAGUAGAGGUGGGCGGAAUGCGUGGUGUAGCGGUGAAAUGCUUAGAUAUCACGAAGAACUCCGAUUGCGAAGGCAGCUCACCGGACUGCAACUGACACUGAGGCUCGAAAGUGUGGGUAUCAAACAGGAUUAGAUACCCUUGUAGUC